rnacentral:rRNA from 1 species
UACGUAGGGUGCGAGCGUUGUCCGGAAUUAUUGGGCGUAAAGAGCUCGUAGGCGGUUUGUCGCGUCUGCUGUGAAAAUCCGGGGCUCAACCCCGGACUUGCAGUGGGUACGGGCAGACUAGAGUGUGGUAGGGGGAGACUGGAAUUCCUGGUGUAGCGGUGGAAUGCGCAGAUAUCAGGAGGAACACCGAUGGCGAAGGCAGGUCUCUGGGC